rnacentral:rRNA from 1 species
UGGGGAAUUUUGGACAAUGGGCGAAAGCCUGAUCCAGCAAUGCCGCGUGUGUGAAGAAGGCCUUCGGGUUGUAAAGCACUUUUGUCCGGAAAGAAAUCCUUGGCUCUAAUACAGUCGGGGGAUGACGGUACCGGAAGAAUAAGCACCGGCUAACUACGUGCCAGCAGCCGCGGUAAUACGUAGGGUGCAAGCGUUAAUCGGAAUUACUGGGCGUAAAGCGUGCGCAGGCGGUUUGCUAAGACCGAUGUGAAAUCCCCGGGCUCAACCUGGGAACUGCAUUGGUGACUGGCAGGCUAGAGUAUGGCAGAGGGGGGUAGAAUUCCACGUGUAGCAGUGAAAUGCGUAGAGAUGUGGAGGAAUACCGAUGGCGAAGGCAGCCCCCUGGGCCAAAUACUGACGCUCAUGCACGAAAGCGUGGGGAGCAAAACAGGAUUAGAUACCCUGGUAGUCCACGCCCUAAACGAUGUCAACUAGUUGUUGGGGAUUCAUUUCCUAGUAACGUAGCUAACGCGUGAAGUUGACCGCCUGGGGAGUACGGUCGCAAGAUUAAAACUCAAAUGAAUUGAC